UACAGAGGAUGCAAGCGUUGUCCGGAAUUAUUGGGCGUAAAGAGCUCGUAGGCGGCCUGUUACGUCUGCUGUGAAAUCCCGGGGCUUAACCCCGGGCGUGCAGUGGAUACGGGCAGGCUGGAGGCAGGCAGGGGAGAACGGAAUUCCCGGUGUAGCGGUGAAAUGCGCAGAUAUCGGGAGGAACACCGGUGGCGAAGGCGGUUCUCUGGGCCUGUACUGACGCUGAGGAGCGAAAGCGUGGGGAGCGAACAGG
rnacentral:rRNA from 1 species